AUACCUUCUCGGCCUUUUGGCUAUGAUCAAGUGUAGUAUCUGUUCUUAUCAGUGUGACAACUGAUAUGGGUCCCACGGGACCUAUUAAUAGUCACAGAAAUUUUUUCUUGGGUGAGUGUGAUCUCUGAGCUUGCUCAUGUCUCACUCAAGUUGUUGCCUCGUUCUUACACUACCGACUUGUGCAGCAUACCCUCU
rfam:Cryptosporidium ubiquitum isolate 39726 contig_12, whole genome shotgun sequence.